UACCCGAUCCCAUUCCGAACUCGGAAGUCAAGCCCUUCAGCGCCGAUGGUACUUUAUCUUAAGGUAUGGGAGAGUAGGACGUUGCCAGGC
rnacentral:rRNA from 1 species